GACGAACGCUGGCGGCGUGCUUAACACAUGCAAGUCGAACGGAGUGGCGAACGGGUGAGUAACACGUGGGUGAUCUGCCUUGCACUUCGGGAUAAGCUUGGGAACCUGGGUCUAAUACCGGAUAGUGCAAGAUGAGCUCGCGGCCUAUCAGCUUGUUGGUGGGGUAAUGGCCUACCAAGGCGUCGACGGGUAGCCGGCCUGAGAGGGUGUAGGGGCACAGUGGGACUGAGGUACGGACCAGAGGCCUACGGGGGGCAGCAGGUGGGAAUAUUGCACAAUGGGCGGAGGCCUGAUGCAGCGACGACGCGUGGGGGAUGAAGGCCUUGGGGUUGUAAACUCCUUUCGACAGGGACGCGGUACCUGUAGAAGAAGCACCGGCUAACUACGUGCCAGCAGCCGCGGUAAUUC
rnacentral:rRNA from 1 species